GGACAAUGUCGGGCUUGAACAUCUUGUAAAGCCUUACAGCUUCCUCGCCGUUUGUGGCAGUGAGCAG
rnacentral:sRNA from 1 species